rnacentral:rRNA from 1 species
GCAUAUCAAAAAGCGGAGGAAAAGAAACCAACAGGGAUUGCCUCAGUAACGGCGAGUGAAGCGGCAAAAGCUCAAAUUUGAAAUCUAGCACCUUCGGUGUUCGAGUUGUAAUUUGAAGAUGGUAACCUUGGGUUUGGCUCUUGUCUAUGUUCCUUGGAACAGGACGUCAUAGAGGGUGAGAAUCCCGUCUGAUGAGAUGCCCAUUCCUAUGUAAGGUGCUAUCGAAGAGUCGAGUUGUUUGGGAAUGCAGCUCUAAGUGGGUGGUAAAUUCCAUCUAAAGCUAAAUAUUGGCGAGAGACCGAUAGCGAACAAGUACAGUGAUGGAAAGAUGAAAAGAACUUUGAAAAGAGAGUGAAAAAGUACGUGAAAUUGUUGAAAGGGAAGGGCAUUAGAUCAGACUUGGUGUUUUACGAUUAUCUUCUCUUCUUGAGUUGUGCACUCGUAUUUCACUGGGCCAGCAUCGAUUCGGAUGGCAAGAUAAUGGCAGUUGAAUGUGGCUUCACUUCGGUGGAGUGUUAUAGCUUCUGCUGAUAUUGCCUGUCUGGAUCGAGGGCUGCGUCUUUUGACUAGGAUGCUGGCGUAAUGAUCUAAUGCCGCCCGUCUUGAACCACGGACCA